AUCCGCGACGCAUUGGGGUCUUUGUAGGGCCACGACGGCGAUCCGCACACGCAGCGGGGAGCCGAGGGUUUGACAACCACCGAUUGCUGCGGCACUCCUCGCCGGGGACCCGCGUUUCGGCCAGACGCGAACCGUGGCACACGGGAGGCCAGCAUCCGCCCCCUUUUCCCUUCCGAGGCGGAGGUUGAGGGGGCAACGUUGUGUGACGCCCAGGCAGACGUGCCCUCGGCCUAAUGGCUUCGGGCGCAACUUGCGUUCAAAGACUCGAUGGUUCACGGGAUUCUGCAAUUCACACCAAGUAUCGCAUUUCGCUGCGUCUUCAUCGAUGCGUCGUUACCUUA
rnacentral:misc_RNA from 1 species